rnacentral:rRNA from 1 species
AACGAACGCUGGCGGCAUGCCUAACACAUGCAAGUCGAACGAAGCCUUCGGGCUUAGUGGCGCACGGGUGCGUAACGCGUGGGAAUCUGCCCCUUGCUUCGGAAUAACAGUUAGAAAUGACUGCUAAUACCGGAUGAAGUCUUCGGACCAAAGAUUUAUCGGCAAGGGAUGAGCCCGCGUAGGAUUAGGUAGUUGGUGGGGUAAAGGCCUACCAAGCCGACGAUCCUUAGCUAGUCUGAGAGGAUGAUCAGCCACACUGGGACUGAGACACGGCCCAGACUCCUACGGGAGGCAGCAGUGGGGAAUAUUGGACAAUGGACGCAAGUCUGAUCCAGCAAUGCCGCGUGAGUGAUGAAGGCCUUAGGGUUGUAAAGCUCUUUUACCAGGGAUGAUAAUGACAGUACCUGGAGAAUAAGCUCCGGCUAACUCCGUG